AUCAGCAAUCAGAUGUGGAACCAUGACGUAUGACAUGUCAUAUGACCUGCCUUAAGGAGAUGUGAUGAACUGUGUCCGUGCUUAUCUGCUUGUAACAACUGUCUCAAUUUAUAACGGCGUGUAUAAGUAUUGCCUUGUUUUUGUACUUAUCGGAGAUUAUGAGCUUGACCUUUUGUCAGUGUUGGUUUCCCUGUGAUAUCACGAAUAAAGCCUCUUUACCUCGAAGUCUAAAGCUCCAGUGUGUGACUAAAUUAAUAUCUUCAAUAAUCUGGUGUAAUCGGCAGGAUCCCUAUCUUUACCGGAUCCGGACAAAUUGAUACGAAUAAGAGAAAGGAGUUUGCGAGGAAUUUGAAUUUCCCCGGCUGGUGAUCCACGUUGAGCCACCCUGAUCUGAUCUCGGGGAGAUUGGAAAGACGGGACGGGCAAGACCACGUGCGGAAGACCGAAACUCGUUGAGAAAUAAAUGAACAAUUAGGACAAUUAGAACGAAAGAACAAAACAGUCUGGGAGACUUCGAGGAAUGAGGUAGUCAAAGAAGCUAAGAGAUCCGAGGGAAAAGAGUUUCCUGUGAAACUGAAAAAGGCAACUUCAAGGAGGAUUCAGGAAAUCCAGAAACAGCGCUAGCUGCUUGGGGACCUGCUGGUUCCUCGCAGAUCGCCUGGUGAUAAGGUUUGGCUGGAACCAGGAGAUAGCAGGCAAUGGAUACCCGAGUACCGACGCGUGGACGCAGUCCUUCGGCAGACUACCUUGCGGGGACAUCCCACUGAAAUUGAAUGGACUGAAGAACGUCAGAGCCUUGGCCGAGCUUAAGACGGCGCUGACUCAACCCCCCCUGCCCUGGGCAUUCCAGAUUACAACAAGCCUUUUGCACUGUGUUAGUGAAAAGGAGGGGUUUGCAAGCGGCGUACUGACUCAAGAACAUGCUGGACUCGAGCGGCCGGUAGCAUAUUAUGCCUCCCGUUGUUAGAGGAAUGCCUGGUUGUCUGUGUGCUGUUGCCGCCACUGCUGUCAUCUUAGAAAAAUCCCAUCCUAUUGUUUUAGACCACAAAUGUCACUUUGGCCCCCGAUGCAGUGUUAAUACUGCUAAAUUCGGCGGCGACUCAACAUUUUACUGCCACUCGCCACAUUGGGUACAAGGCCAUGUUGCUGUCUAAGCAAAUGUCUCGUUCUACCGAGCUCCCUCACUAAACCCCGCCACCCUUCUCCCUGAUAGACCAUUGUCCACUGUAGACCAUUUGCCAACAGUACAAUAGGGGGAAAACACCAGACAAGUACCGGUGUUAUCAUCCCUAGAUUUGGAAUACUCGUUAAAGUGAACAGCAAUAGAGGGACACACUUUAUGGGAAAAAUGGUUACAGCCCUGACACAGGCCAUGGGAUUUGAGUGGAAGGUGCACAUACCUUACCAACCCCAAUACUUCAGAAUAGUAGAACGAGUCAAUGGUACCCUUAAAAAAAAAAUACCCUUGGAAAAAGUCUGUCAGGAAGUUGGUUUAAAAUGGCCCGAAGCUCUGCUUGUUACUCUUUACACCCUAAGGAAUCAGGUAAAUAGAACAACAGGUCUAACCCUGUUUUGAGGUCUUAAUGGGAUGAUCCAUGACCACAGGCACCAAGCCCCCAAUGACAGGGACUGAUGUGGCAUUAAUUUGGGUCGAUGAGAAAACCUUACAGUAUGCACAGUCCCUAAGUGAGGCGGCCCGGUCAAGUCCUGAUAGUCUUUGCAGCACUACCAAAGCCCAAGGAGGGGAAUAACUCAUCCAUUUAAACCUGGUGACUUUUGUAUAUAUCGAAGCACUUGAAAAGAAUUCGUUCUCUCCUAGGUGGAAAGGUCCCUAUCAAGUACUACUGGCACCUGCACUGCUGUCAAAGUAGAACAACAUCAGGAUUGGAUUCGUGCUACUCGGUGCAAACUGCUGAAAGAUAAUGUUGCUCUGGAAGACUAAAGACCUAAAAAAUGCAAUGGCUUCUAAUGACUCUUGUCUGUCUCCUGGGCAGUCCAGUUAGAUCCGAUGUGCUGGCACCAGUUAGAGUCCACCUACCUUCCGGCCCCUAAUUCCUUUUCAUCCCUCAGUUACAAAUAUGCAUACGGCUAAAUGUCUCCUCAUGCUGGGUGUGCACUCGCGUCCCGAUUCACUCAAAAGGGGGAAUCCCCUUACAACCAAUCCCCUUUAAUGUCUCCGAAGUGGCAGAAUGGAUCAUUCGACAGAAUGAAUCCCUAAGGGCUGGUGUUUGCAUGGCUGCUACAUCUUCCGCAGAGAGGGGGAUAUAUUGGGUGGACAUUUAAGGCACCUAAAAUGAGUGGGAAUCGGCAAGGUACAACUUUUUAACAUGUAAAGGUUGGUAUCAAGCUCAAUUUAAUAUUCCCGUAUCCCACCAUAUGUUGUUAUCACUAACACGUUAAGGGUGGGAAAACUGGUAAAUUCCAUUUGCCUCACUAGAUUUAACCUUGAUGGUUGGUUUAUGGGUCAGAGUAAUUGCACCCAAUAUUUUAAUGUUACGCCCAAGGCUUGGCCUCCAUCCAAGCUUAGGUUUAAUAACUUCACAUCUGCAGGAACUUUUGACCAUGUUUGGUUUCCUGAUUAUGUAACUCUGUUUAUCCCUUAUAACAGAUUCUGCCCAUGGAACAUGAGAUGUUUGUGACUGCAGUCCAAGAUGGAAGUCCAGACGAUUGAGUGGUGAGCUAGCAUCACCAGGAAUCAACUGACUUUCACGUUGGGAAUUGUCACUCUCUAUUUUCUAUUUGGCAGGAACUGGGAUAUGUGGGAAACUGCACAUAUCAAGACAUGAUUUGGCAAUAAUAGCAUGCUAAUGCAGGCAAAUAGAUGUAAACAGGCUUCUCUUCACUUACUAGUGGAAUUCUUGUAUUGCUAUUCAAAACUUGGUUAGAGAAUUGGACUAUUUUCUUAAUGUCAAGAACCCAAUUUCUGUGAUCUCACCUUAUUUGACUCACUGAUACCCAGAUUAUUCAGAGGCUGAGAACAUAAUUGAAAUUGCUUUUGUGGUCCUUUGAUUUUUCCCUAAUUGUAAUGGUGUCUUUUGGUGCUUACUUGCCAUGAUUGUGAUGCUUGAUCUGAACUGUCAGCAUUUUACUUGCAUCGUACUUUCCCCAUAUGGAAACUUUCUUAAAAUUGUCCUCUUGCCGACCAGGGAUUUCAGCUUUAUACACAGAACCUUUUUAUGUCUGUUCACAACUGCAGCUGAACCCCGGCUUGGGACUUCUCCUGCAGGUCACUAGCGCCCAAUGCUAUUUGUAACUGAGAUAGUAGGCCUUGGAGUGGGAAAUGCUCCAGGCUGUUCUGAACAAUCUCUUGC